UUCUUAUCAAGAGUGGCGGAGGGACAGGCCCUGCGAAGCCCGGCAACCGAUCUUGCAACCCGGAUGUAUAACAAUGUUAUACGAUUGCAAGAUGUCAAUGGUGCUAAUUCCUUCAGAACAUGAUGUUCUGGCAGAUAAGAA
rnacentral:ncRNA from 2 species